CUCACCACUCACCGGUUAACAGAAAAUUUCUGCUAGUCUUCGCAACUCCACUCUCAUUCUCUCUCUGCAAUGCUUGCUUUACCUUGAAGAAGAAGAAACAAUCAACUCACCAUAACAGGUCUAUUUUAGCAAAUAAAAAGAAAAAAAAAAAAGAAAUGAAAACAAUCUUCUUCGCUUUUAUGUAUCAAGCCAUGUGAGUUCACUGACACAUUCUCCUCUCCUCCUCCCCCUCCUUUCCAUCAAUCGUUUUCUCAUUUGCCGACACGCCAAUUCGACUCAACUCAAUGGCGUCAUCAUCACGAGCUCGUAGCAGUUCACCGUUCUCGUACCGUAAGCCUUCGAGUCCGUACUCCUCCACUUCAUCUUCCUCUUCAUUCAUGAAUAACCGUCUCAUGCCUCGCUCGUGCUCGUCCUCUGCUUCUUCUCACUUCAAUUCGGGGAAUGGAUUCAGUUCCCGAUCCAUGACGCCGAGCCGUUCACGUUCAGAGUCAAUGUACCCCGGUCCGCGUAGUUACAGUGCACGCGCAGCACAACCGGUGAGCUUCCCUUCCGAGGAAUUGAUCACAGAACCGUUCGAUGCGCCGCAAAGGUCCGGCGAUAGCAUUUCCGUCACUAUUAGGUUUCGGCCGUUGAGUGACAGGGAGUUUCAAAGGGGAGAUGAGAUCUCAUGGUACGCAGAUGGGGAUAAAAUUGUGAGAAAUGAGUAUAAUCCAGCAACUGCUUAUGCAUUUGAUAGAGUUUUUGGACCACACGCGAAUUCACAGGAGGUGUAUGAUAUAGCUGCAAAGCCCGUAGUCAAGGCUGCGAUGGAAGGUGUUAAUGGGACUGUUUUCGCAUAUGGUGUUACAAGUAGUGGGAAGACGCACACUAUGCAUGGAGAUCAAAAUUCUCCGGGAAUUAUACCAUUGGCCAUAAAGGAUGUGUUCAGCAGCAUCCAAGAUACUCCAGGAAGAGAGUUCUUACUCCGUGUGUCAUAUCUUGAAAUUUACAAUGAGGUGAUAAAUGACUUGCUUGAUCCAAUUGGUCAAAAUUUGCGCAUUAGAGAAGAUGCUCAGGGCACUUAUGUUGAGGGAAUAAAAGAAGAAGUGGUCUUGUCUCCUGGGCAUGCACUUUCUUUCAUUGCAGCUGGAGAAGAACAUCGUCAUGUUGGCUCAAAUAAUUUUAAUUUGUUCAGUAGCCGCAGUCACACCAUAUUUACACUGAUGAUUGAAAGUAGUGCCUGUGGUGAUGAGUAUGAUGGAGUAAUAUUCUCUCAACUGAAUUUGAUUGACCUUGCUGGAUCCGAGAGUUCAAAAACUGAAACAACUGGACUAAGGAGAACAGAAGGAUCUUACAUAAACAAAAGCCUUCUUACUCUGGGAACUGUAAUUGGAAAGUUGAGUGAGGGGAAGGCAUCUCAUGUUCCCUAUAGGGAUUCCAAGCUAACUCGUCUUCUCCAAUCUUCUCUGAGUGGACAUGGACAUGUUUCGCUUAUAUGUACAGUUACUCCUGCUUCAAGUAAUAUGGAAGAAACUCAUAAUACACUGAAGUUUGCAAGCAGGGCAAAGCGAGUGGAAAUUUAUGCAUCACGUAAUAAGAUUAUUGAUGAGAAAUCAUUAAUAAAGAAAUAUCAAAGGGAAGUUUCAACCCUCAAGCAAGAACUUCAUCAACUGAGGCAGGGAAUGCUUGCUGGUGUUAGUCAUGAAGAGAUUCUGACCUUAAGACAAAAGUUAGAAGAAGGUCAAGUGAAAAUGCAGUCAAGAUUGGAGGAGGAAGAGGAAGCCAAAGCAGCUCUUAUGAGCAGAAUCCAAAGGCUAACUAAGCUUAUACUUGUUUCUACAAAGAAUUCAAUUCCUGGAUUAAGUGAUGUGCCCAGUCAUCAACGGAGUCAUUCUGUUGGUGAGGAUGAUUUGGAAUUGUUGCAAGAGGGUUCUUUGCUUAUAGAUUGUGAUAGUCAAAAGGACUCAACAUCUGCUUCAGCACUUCCAUCAGAUGUGUCUUAUGAUUUUAAACAUCUAAGAUCAUCAAGCAAGUGGAAUGAAGAAUUCUCGCCAGCAAGCAGUACAGUUACUGAAUCAACUCAAGCGCUUGAACUUAAUAGCACAAAGCUUCCAGCAGGUGGGAUGACGUCAGACCAGAUGGACCUUCUCAUUGAGCAAGUAAAGAUGCUUGCUGGGGAGAUUGCAUUCAGUACCAGUAACCUAAAACGCCUGAUGGAUCAGUCUACCAAUGAUCCUGAUAACUCAAAAGUUCAAAUCCAGAACUUGGAACAAGAGAUCCAAGAAAAGAGAAGGAAAAUGCAGGUUCUGGAAAAACGCAUAAUUGAGAGUGGAGAGGCUUCAAUGGCUAAUGCAUCCAUGGUCGACAUGCAGCAGACAGUUAUGAGGCUGAUGACCCAAUGUAAUGAAAAAGGUUUUGAGUUGGAGAUAAAAUCAGCAGAUAACCGUAUUCUGCAGGAACAACUUCAGAAAAAGUGUUCUGAAAACAAAGAAUUGCAGGAGAAGGUGAAUCUUCUAGAGCAGCAAUUGGCUUCAGUGACCAGUGAUAAAUCAUCUGUGUCUUCUGAGCAGGGUGUCUCUGAGGAACAUGUUGAUGAGUUGAGAAGAAAAGUUCAAUCACAGGUGUUUGAGAACGAAAAAGUAAAGCUUGCACACGUGCAACUUUCUGAGGAGAACAGUGGACUACUUGUGCAAAACCAGAAAUUGGCUGAAGAAGCUUCUUAUGCGAAAGAACUUGCAUCUGCUGCUGCUGUUGAACUGAAGAAUUUGGCUGGUGAAGUGACCAAGCUCUCAUUGCAGAAUGCAAAACUAGAAAAAGAAUUGCUGGCUGCUCAAGAAUUGGCACAUUCUAGAGGUUCUGCUGUUCCAACAGUUAAUGGUGUCAACCGUAAGUAUGGUGAUGGCACAAGACCUGGGAGGAAAGGGUGCCUUUCUAGGAGGUCUAAUGACAUUUCAGGGAUGGGCUUUGAUGACUUUGAUGCAUGGAAUCUUGAUCCAGAUGAUUUAAAGAUGGAACUUCAGGCAAGGAAACACAGGGAAGCAGCACUUGAAGCUACCUUAGCUGAAAGGGAAUUACUAGAAGACGAAUUCAGGAAAAAGUUUGAAGAGGCCAAGAAAAGGGAGGAAGCUCUGGAAAAUGAUUUAGCAAAUAUGUGGGUACUUGUUGCUAAGUUAAAGAAAGAAGGAGCUGCUAUCCCGGAGAUAAAUACUGGUGAGAGGCACUGCAUUGGGGAGGAUCAUGCCAGUGAUCCCAAUGCCAUUGAAAUUGAUGGUAAUACUGUCUUGAAAGGAAGGCAAAUUCCAAUCGAUGAGCCAAAACCAGCUGAAGUAAUUCCCAGGGAAGAACCCUUGGUAGCUCGCCUGAAGGCUCGAAUGCAAGAGAUGAAGGAAAAAGAGCAACAAAACCUUGGAAAUGGAGAUGGCAACUCCCGCAUGUGUAAAAUUUGUUUUGAAUCACCUACUGCUGCAAUUCUUCUCCCUUGCAGGCAUUUUUGUUUGUGUAAAUCUUGUUCGCUUGCCUGCUCUGAGUGUCCAAUUUGUUGUACAAAGAUUUCAGAUAGGCUUUUUGCUUUUACUUCUUGAAAGUGCUAUUUAUGCCCUCCGAGUGAAGUUGCAGGGUUUCUUAUCUCUUAUCUUGGUGCCAUUUACCGCGCAAUAGCGGGCGCAAUUCUUUCAUUAGUUUGCUUGUAUGCAGCUGUCUAAAAGGCAUGCGACUUGUCCCACAUCUGAAGUAUGAGAUUUAGUGUGGGAUUUAUACGAGGUUUGGGCGCUUUACAAUCAGAAAUUAGGUUUUGGCGCGUGGUUGGAAUGCUACAAUCACCUAUUGCUGGGUUAGGUUGACAUCUCAAUGUUCCUUGCCCUUCUGGGUAUGAACCUUCAAAUUGGGGUCCAAGUUUUGAUGGAUGCAUGGUGUGCACGAUUUGAUGAACUUAAUUUGGGUGUACCUAAAUCAGCGUGAUGGGGACGAAUAAGAUUAGGUUUAAGCUUAAUUAAGUUUGAAAUGGGUUGGUUUUUUAGUUCAAUUGGAAUUAUAAAUGAUUAGUUUAAAUUUGACCUUAAGUUUGUUUGAA